UACGUAGGUGGCAAGCGUUGUCCGGAUUUAUUGGGCGUAAAGCGCGCGCAGGUGGUGCGGUAAGUCUGCCGUGAAAUCUCCCGGCUCAACUGGGAGGGGCGGUGGAGACUGCCGGACUGGAGGGACUCAGGAGGCCGGGUGGAAUUCCCGGUGUAGUGGUGAAAUGCGUAGAGAUCGGGAGGAACACCAGGUGGCGAAGGCG
rnacentral:rRNA from 1 species